UUCCAGCAAAGCAAAAUAAAUGGCCACCAAUCAGCUUUUCAGGAGCAACACUCCCUGCCUAGUUGACUCAAUCUACUCUUGGCCUUAUUUAUAGCACAUGCUUCGUAUACAGCAGACACUUGAUGGAUAUUGAAGGUAUAUGAGACUUUUCUAAAAAUAAAAACUAUCCAAUGUUGGCAUGA